rnacentral:rRNA from 1 species
UACGUAGGGUCCGAGCGUUGUCCGGAAUUAUUGGGCGUAAAGGGCUCGUAGGCGGUUUGUCACGUCGGGAGUGAAAACUCAGGGCUCAACCCUGAGCGUGCUUCCGAUACGGGCAGACUAGAGGUAUGCAGGGGAGAACGGAAUUCCUGGUGUAGCGGUGGAAUGCGCAGAUAUCAGGAGGAACACCGGUGGCGAAGGCGGUUCUCUGGGCAUGACCUGACGCUGAGGAGCGAAAGCAUGGGAAGCGAACAGG